rnacentral:rRNA from 1 species
CCUACGGGAGGCAGCAGUAAGGAAUAUUGGUCAAUGGACGCAAGUCUGAACCAGCCAUGCCGCGUGAAGGAUUAAGGCCCUCUGGGUUGUAAACUUCUUUUAUAGGGGACGAAAAAAGGGCAUUCUUGCUCACUUGACGGUACCCUAGGAAUAAGCACCGGCUAACUCCGUGCCAGCAGCCGCGGUAAUACGGAGGGUGCAAGCGUUAUCCGGAUUUACUGGGUUUAAAGGGUGCGUAGGUGGGUUGGUAAGUCAGUGGUGAAAUCUUCGAGCUUAACUCGGAAACUGCCAUUGAUACUAUCAAUCUUGAAUCAUCUAGAGGUAAGCGGAAUAUGUCAUGUAGCGGUGAAAUGCUUAGAUAUGACAUAGAACACCAAUUGCGAAGGCAGCUUACUAUGGAUGCAUUGACACUGAGGCACGAAAGCGUGGGGAUCAAACAGGAUUAGAUACCCUGGUAGUCCACGCCCUAAACGAUGGAUACUCGACAUUUGUUGUAUAUACAAUAAGUAGUNUGAGACGAAGACGAUUAAGUUAAUACCACCGUACGGUAAGGUAACGACCGACGAAGGUUAGUUAAACGUUAACAAAUUAGAAGUUAGUACGGACGUUGAGGACGUUAGCCGAACGGACGACGACCGAGGGGAAGGUUAGGAGG